GGGACUGUAACUUAGAGGAUUAAAGCACGUGGCUAUGAAUCAUGAUGUCGAGAGUUCAAAUUCCUCCUCGCCCA
rfam:Gossypium raimondii Chr05_contig_125, whole genome shotgun sequence.